rnacentral:misc_RNA from 1 species
GUGCGGUGCUGAAGAGGAUACCCGAGGCGCUGGCGCGAGCCCGUCUUGUGAGGCAGCCUCUCAGGCUCGAGGUAUACAUGCAGAAUCUGGAACUGAUAGCAGGCGGCCGGUCAGACGAGAGAGUGAGGCGUCUGCGAGUGGGUGUCUAUGUACCUAUCAUGGUCGUGAACCGCUGCUCGUUGUACCGACUAUAAACUUAGAGCAGUGGAUUCUGGAACAACUUUUCGAGGGCGCGCUUUUGUUUCGAUUGCUUUUCUCGCAGGUGUUCAACCAAGCAAUUGUGUACUUUAGGUUCGGGGGAAAGUCGCGAAACGUUUUGAGCUUUUUAUGGCUUGCGUGCGCAAACCGCCGUCAUUCUGAACUGAAGGCAACGCAAUCCGAUAAAGUGCAUGAAUCAGCUGUCUCGUAGUGCCUGUUCCUAGAACUGCGCUCCAAAACGAGAACGUACCAGACGCCACCUACAAGCCUUGCUCGUUUUCAAUCCGUUCCACUCCACAGUUCCGUUCAGAAAAAGCAGAGAAAAAACCACACGAUAUGAAGAUUCUGUACCGUCGAUACCGACGGUAAUGAAGAGGCACGGGUGGACGACGCAAAAGCACGUUGCUCCGUGAGACCGUCGUACGUUGAACGAGACGCGCACACUCUCAUACGCACACCCGCGAUCGAUUACAUCAUGAAAAGCGAGCGGUUACUACGGGACGGACGAGUGCUCGUCGCUCUCAAUGAGACUUCAUUCAGAGAAGCGUGCAGACCUGGACACGGGCGCCCUAACAGGGAUCAUCGAUGUUCGCACACCAGGAACACGCGAGUAUUCCGAAAAGAUCAGCAGUAGCAGCAGCAUGGAAAUCGUGUGGUCGCCUACUUUUCGCCAAACGGGCGGGAUUGCCCAACAGCUCAUUCGCGGUCGAGGCAGUCCCCAGGAUGCAGAGCUGAAGUGGAUGCCCUGCACGCUUGCUCCGGGGUGCGCCUUAGCGACCAUGCGGCACAUGCGGACGAUAUUGGGGCAGGGGCACAGCGAACCGCGCUGGGGCCGCCAACGGUUUCGGUUGUAUAGGCCGAACUGGCGUGCAAUCGCCUACGUGGUCAGUCAGUUGGACAAAGCAUCGACAGACGUGUCGCAUCGUUUGGUGGAGGACGAAGGCGCUCGACGUAUUGCUGCGCGCAAAGCACGUACCCGUGUUCGUUGCGCGAGAGCGCACACCGAGUGCAGGAAUCGAUGCGGUACGUGCUCCCGUUGAUGAGUUCAAAACGACGUAUACGCAUCACAAGCAUGUGUGCACGCCGAAACGGGUAGAGAAGACGAAUGUGAAACGGAACCUGAUGCACGACGUGGUGUGCGGGAAGCGGGGCAUCGUCAGGUAGCGACGAGGGUGCAGGUGAGCGGCUGGCAACGGCGUGAUUCCCCGAGCAGCCACGCGUGCAAGCACAUUCUGCGCGGAGACUUGGGCGUCUCAACGAGCACCCGGAAGCGUCUCGUGCUUCCGGAGCGUCCAUCGGUUUUGCAUGAAGCGAGCGCUCGAGGUAGUAAUCGGUUCGACCUUCGCGGCGCCAUGGUACUGGAACGCAGAAGGCUUGCGAUGAAAAGAAUCAGUGGCGGCGAGAGAGGGCUCUGGAUUCCCGACUGGAGCUAUGCACUGGUACGAUAUGGAUCAGCAAUCGAGUGAGACUCGUGUACUCUCAUAUAUACGCUGUGAUUUGGAUUCCCUGGCAGUUGGAGAAAGAUCGUGCUGAUAUACUAUCCGAUUUUACUGCGGAUAUGAAGCGAGAUGCAACACAGUGUUUUGAUAUAAAUCCGCGCAUUCAAACCUA